CAGCCUCAUACUUCAAGCAGGGCUUGCUUCAGGAAAACAAGGGGAGGAGAUAAGGCUAGUUCUGGAAUUCCUCUCCUUCCACCCAUGUCUCUCCAUGCAGCUCCCAAAGCCAUUGGAACACUCCCUCAGCUACAGUAACUCCUUCCGAAAGAAGAGCAGACUCCGAGACUCUUUCAUAUAACGGUGGCUGGGUAAAGGGUAGUAAAUGGCAUUUGUGAUUUCUUGGUAGCGGUGGAAGGUCAGAACCCACAUGCACAAUUCCUUGCCGCAAUAUGCAGUGCCUGGAUUCCUGAUCACAGAAACUGUCACCUUACUGUCAAGAGAUGGCUGCUGGAGCUCCAUCCACCACUUCCGCCUUGCAGACAUCUGGAAGAUAAAAAAGGAGAUAGGUAAAGGCACCUGCAUCCCAGUCGAAUCAACUUUUGAAGAUCCUUCCUUGAAAUAUCCCCAAAUAACUUCUGCUUAAAUCUCAUUGGCCGCCUGUAUCUAUAAGAGAGGUUCGGAAAUGUGCUUUUCCAGCCGGGCACUUUGCAGCGUCUAGCUGUGUGGGUGUCUAUGACUAAGGAAGCAGGGGGGAUGGCGACGGUGGGGAAGUAGCGGCCUGUGCUGCGGGAGCUGUGGUUCUGCUUCCUUCCCUGGGCAGGCCCCCCACUGCGAAGCGAUGGUGAGGGCUGGGGAAGGACCCAAGCAACAAGCUACCUGGACAGGCCCUGAGGCUCAGAGAGAGCUCACUUGCCCAGGUCACGUGGAGAUGGUAAAGUGAGAAGGGGUCUCACCCCAGGUCUGUCUGGCCUCAAAGAGCCUGGACUUUGAACUUGGAUGUUGGGCUGCUGCAGACCAGGUUGACAAAGAGGGGCAAAGGAAGAGGGACAGGCGAGAAAAGAGGGGAUGGA